rnacentral:rRNA from 1 species
GAUGAGCGCUAGCGGGAGGCUUAACACAUGCAAGUCGAGGGGCAUCACGAGGUAGCAAUACUUUGGUGGCGACCGGCGCACGGGUGAGUAACGCGUAUGCAACCUACCCUGUACAGUGGGAUAACCCGGAGAAAUUCGGACUAAUACCGCAUAAAGAUAUUUUGAGGCAUCUUAAGAUAUUUAAAGCUUAGGUGGUACGGGAUGGGCAUGCGUAACAUUAGCUGGCUGGUAGGGUAACGGCCUACCAAGGCGAUGAUGUUUAGGGGACCUGAGAGGGUGAUCCUCCACACUGGUACUGAGACACGGACCAGACUCCUACGGGAGGCAGCAGUGAGGAAUAUUGGUCAAUGGGCGGAAGCUUGAACCAGCCAUCCCGCGUGCAGGAAGACAGCCCUAUGGGUUGUAAACUGCUUUUCCAGUGGGCGAAACACUCGUACGUGUACGAGAUUGACGGUACACUGGGAAUAAGCAUCGGCUAACUCCGUGCCAGCCGCCGCCGUAACAC